AUCUUCAUCUUUUUCUCUCCAAUAUGCUCGUGAAGAACUUGGAAUCCGAAAAAAUCUAGAAGCUCUGGAGAUUUCUUCUUCACCACCAUAUAUAGAUUCAUCAGACUCACCAACUUUCAUCAAAAAAUCGAAAUCGAAAUCGAAUCGUCGGAAAAUUGUUCAAAUUUCGAAAUCACUCAAAGAAAAUGUCGCUAAUUCCAAGCUUCUUCGGCAGCAACAGACGAAUCAACAACACCAUCUUCGAUCCAUUCUCACUCGACGUUUGGGAUCAUCCAUUCAAGGAACUUCAAUUCCCGUCUUCUUCAUCGUCAUCGGCGAUAGCGAACGCACGUGUGGACUGGAAAGAGACGGAGGAGGCGCACGUGUUCAAGGCGGAUUUGCCAGGGAUGAAGAAAGAAGAGGUUAAAGUAGAGAUAGAGGAUGAUACUGUGCUUAAGAUCAGCGGAGAGAGACACGUUGAGAAAGAGGAGAAGCAGGACACGUGGCAUCGUGUAGAGAGAUCGAGUGGGGGAUUCUCGAGGAAGUUUAGGUUACCGGAGAAUGUGAAGAUGGAUCAAGUUAAGGCUUCUAUGGAGAAUGGAGUUUUGACUGUGACUGUGCCUAAGGUUGAGACUAAGAAGAAGGCUCAAAAAGCGUGAAGGAAGGAAUCUGAGGUACCUGCUCAAGUGAAUCAGAUACAGGAGGAUUUUAGGAGAGCUAAUGAGCAAGUAGCAAUGCUUAAGAAAGAUAAAGGUAGAGCUCUUGACAAAGUAAGCCAAUGACAAACUCAGACAGGGAUUGUCAGCUUAGCAUCGUGUCGAGAAGAGUAGUGAGAACAAUGGGGAAUUAAGGCAGUUCACAAAAACGAAAACUCUUGGAAGAAAAGCCAUAUGGAACUUGCAACUGAGUUGCAAAAACUGAAAGAAGAAGAAGAAGAAGAUAAAAGCAACAAAGCUAUGGAAAGAUUAACUUUGGAUUUGCAAGCAAGUAUUUUUAAAGCAAGGGAAGCAAAGGAGAAGCUCUUGAUAUGUCAACCAUAGCUUGAACAUUAUGGAGCCCAGAUUAAAAGUUAUAACGUGGCUGCAAAAGAUACAAAUGAAAACUAUGAAAAAAUUCUUGAAGACUGAGAGAAGAAGACACCCAAAAUGAGUUUGUCAAUUCUAUGACUAUGUGGGGAACAGCGAAAACUCCAUUUGUGUGGAAAAAUCGGGAAUUUGGUAAGGUAAAUUUGUUUAACCUUGAGGAAAAUGGGAAGAAGAAGAUGCUUGUAUGAAAACUAAACUGAAGGAACUUGAAAAGAAGAAUGAGGAUCUGUAGGAAAGAGUUGGAGAAGCAGAAACUUAAAGAAAGCCUGUUGGACAAAAAAGUCAAGCUAAAGAAGGUUAAGUUAGAAAACAGAAAGCUCAGAGCAAUGGAGGUUUGUUCUUUUGAAAAACUCGAUGAGUCAUCAAAGGUAAAUGAAAGCUUGGUGGAUAAACUGCAGACUGAAGGAUAUAGCCUAUCUCAAGAAGAAUGAAGAGUUGUUAUCGGAAAAUGAGAGCUUAAUUGACAAAGAAACUAACCAACCAACCUGUGGAACAUUGUUCAAGAUGCUGAGAAGAGCUCCGAAAAAGGGAUUUUGCUGUCUGUAUGAAUUAGAGAUUGUUAAUACCAGACUGCAGAGCACUAAUCAAGAUUAGUUGAGAAAGAAGCCAAACGCAGAGUUUAAAACCAAGUCAAUGGAGUCUUCUUAACAUAACAAAAUUGAGGAGUUGUCACUAUAACUUCUUAAUUCCAGAAAGCGCGAUAACGGUGAAGGAAGGAAUCUGAGUUACCAGCUCAACUGAAUCAGAUUCAGGAGGAUUUUAGGAGAGCUAAUGAGCAAGUAGCAAUGCUUAAGAAUGAUGAAGCUAGAGCUCUUCAUUAUCUACUGAAAAAUUGACAAAGUAAAGCAAUGCCAAACUCAGACAUGCGUUGGCAGCUUAGAAUCGUGUUGAGGAGAGUAUUGAGAACAGUUGGGAACUAAAGUGUUUCACAAAAAUGAAAACUUUUGGUAGAAAGAGGUUGAGUCUAUUAGAAGCCAGAAUGCCUUGGGACAUUUCAGUUCUUCUCUCUACCAGGCCAAGUUUGCAUAUUAAAUGAAGAAACUUCCAAGCUAGAAAAGCAUGUUGCGUCAAUAACAUUGAAACCGGCCAAGGAGGGAAAGGUUAGAUCAAUAAAAAGACUUCAACAUCUCAUUUUUGGAACCUAUUGAAUGAAAAAGAUGGAACUUGCAACUGAGUUGGAAAACUGUAAGAAGAAGAAGGGAAAAGCAACAAAUCUUUGGUAAGCUUAACUUUGGAUUUGCAAGUAGUAUCUUCUUGAGAUGUCAAUCUUUGCUAGCACAUUGUGCAGCCCAGAUUAGAAGUUUGGGCUGCAAUAGAUACAAAUGAGAAGUAUGGAAAAAGGCUUGAAAGUGCAAGCAACGAAAUUGAUAGCCUGAGUGGGAAGAGCAAGAACUUCAUUUGAUCGUUUGUGUGAAGAAAUCGGGUGAAGAAAACUUUUCUCUAUGCAGGAAGAACUUGGCAAGGUGAAUUUUCUUAAUCUUAAGCAAAAUGAGAAGAAGCAGCCCGUAUAAAAUAUCAAACGUAAGGAUCUGUAGGAAAGAGUUGGAGAAAUGGAAACUGAAAGCAUAAAACUUGUUGGACAAAAAGGUCGAGCCAAAGAAUGUUGCUCUAGAAAACAAAAAGCCUCAGAGCAAUGGAGGUUUGUCCUCUUGAAAAAAUCGGUGAGUCGUCAAAUGUAAAUGAAAGCUUGGUGGAUAAACUGAAGACUGAAGGAGACAACCUAUCUCAAGAAGAUUAAAGAGUUUUCGGAAAAUGAGAGCUUAAUUGACAAAGAAACCAACCUGUGGAACAUUGUUCAAGAAGCUAAGAAUAGCUCAGAGAAAGGGAAAUUGCUUGCUGAAGCAAUGAAUUAGAGAUGGGUUAAUACCAAAUUAAAGAUCACUAAUCAAGAUUAGUUGAGAAAGAAGCCAAACGCAGAGUUGAAAAGGAAGUCAAUGGAGUCUUCAACAACUUAUCAUAACAACAUUGGGGAGUUGUCACUAUAAACUUAAUUCCGGGUAUGUGAAUUGGCUUCUUCCUCCGCAACUUCUCAUAUUCCAGAACACAAAGACUUAUAAACGAACCAUCCUUCACGUAUGUGUUGAAUUGAAAUGUGAAUGUGACUUGAUCAACAACAACUUCUCACUUUCCAAAACACAAUGACUUAAAACACCCAACGACGGUCUUUCUUUCUUUUCCUACCAAUAAAAUGUUAAAGUACACAAGAAAGACUUUUCAUUUAA